GCAGCAGUGGGGAAUUUUGGACAAUGGGCGCAAGCCUGAUCCAGCAAUGCCGCGUGAGUGAAGAAGGCCUUCGGGUUGUAAAGCUCUUUCAGUCGAGAAGAAAAGGCUGCAGUGAAUAACUGUAGUUCAUGACGGUAUCGACAGAAGAAGCACCGGCUAACUACGUGCCAGCAGCCGCGGUAAUACGUAGGGUGCGAGCGUUAAUCGGAAUUACUGGGCGUAAAGGGUGCGCAGGCGGCUUUGUAAGUCAGAUGUGAAAUCCCCGGGCUUAACCUGGGAAUUGCGUUUGAAACUACAAGGCUAGAGUGUGGCAGAGGGAGGUGGAAUUCCAUGUGUAGCAGUGAAAUGCGUAGAGAUAUGGAAGAACAUCGAUGGCGAAGGCAGCCUCCUGGGUUAACACUGACGCUCAUGCACGAAAGCGUGGGGAGCAAACAGGAUUAGAUACCCUGGUAGUCCACGCCCUAAACGAUGUCAACUAGUUGUUGGGCCUUAUUAGGCUUAGUAACGAAGCUAACGCGUGAAGU
rnacentral:rRNA from 1 species